UAGGGAAUCUUCGGCAAUGGACGAAAGUCUGACCGAGCAACGCCGCGUGAGUGAAGAAGGUUUUCGGAUCGUAAAACUCUGUUGUUAGAGAAGAACAAGGACGUUAGUAACUGAACGUCCCCUGACGGUAUCUAACCAGAAAGCCACGGCUAACUACGUGCCAGCAGCCGCGGUAAUACGUAGGUGGCAAGCGUUGUCCGGAUUUAUUGGGCGUAAAGCGAGCGCAGGCGGUUUCUUAAGUCUGAUGUGAAAGCCCCCGGCUCAACCGGGGAGGGUCAUUGGAAACUGGGGGAGUGGAGUGAAGAAGAGGAGAGUGGAAUUCCAGGUGUAGCGGUGAAAUGCGUGGAUAUAUGGAGGAACACCAGUGGCGAAGGCGGCUCUCUGGUCUGUAACUGACGCUGAGGCUCGAAAGCGUGGGGAGCAAACAGG
rnacentral:rRNA from 1 species